rnacentral:rRNA from 1 species
UCGAGCGGCAGCGCGGGGGCAACCCUGGCGGCGAGCGGCGAACGGGUGCGUAAUGCAUGGGAAUCUGCCUAGUAGUGGGGAAUAACCCGGCGAAAGCCGGGCUAAUGCCGCAUACGACCUACGGGUGAAAGCGGGGGAUCGCAAGACCUCGCGCUAUUAGAUGAGCCCAUGUCGGAUUAGCUAGUUGGUAGGGUAACGGCCUACCAAGGCGACGAUCCGUAGCUGGUCUGAGAGGACGGCCAGCCACACUGGGACUGAGACACGGCCCAGACUCC